rnacentral:lncRNA from 1 species
UUUUACACUAGUUAACUUAAAGCCUUCAGGGAAAAAAAGAGCAAAACAGGUUUUUUUUUUCUUUUCAAAAAAUGUGUUACCAAACAAGUUUUUCACUUUUUCAUCUUUAAAACAGUUUUUAAAAGUGUAAUCCCCAAACAGAUUUUUUUUCUUAAUUUACUUCUUAAAACAGUUUUAAAGAACAAGUUUGUAAAAUAAUUUUCAAAAACUAAAAAGCAAAACACAAUCAAAC